rnacentral:rRNA from 1 species
AUUGAACGCUGGCGGCAGGCUUAACACAUGCAAGUCGAGCGAGCGGCGGACGGGAGAGUAAUGUCUGGGCAACUGCGUGAGGGAGGGGGAUAACUACUGGAAACGGUAGCUAAUACCGAAUACCAUCAGAUGUGCCGAGAUGGGUUUAGCUAGUGGGUGGGGUAAUGGCUCACCUAGGCGACGACCGCGAGCGGGUCUGAGAGGAUGACCAUCCCACCGGGAAAUUAGACACGGGCCAGACCCCUACGGGAGGCAGCAGGGGGGAAUAUUGCACAAGGGGCGCAAGCUGGAUGCAGCCAUGCCGUGUGUGUUAAGAAGGCCUUCGAGUUGUAAAGCACUUUCAGCGAGGAGGCGUUACUCGCAGAAGAAGCACCGGCUAAUUCCGUGCCAGCAGCCGCGUAAUUC